rnacentral:rRNA from 1 species
GACGGAGGGGGCUAGCGUUGUUCGGAAUUACUGGGCGUAAAGCGCGCGUAGGCGGCCGGUCAAGUUAGGCGUGAAAGGCCCGGGCUCAACCUGGGAACGGCGCUUAAGACUGAUCGGCUGGAGUCCGGGAGAGGGUGGUGGAAUUCCCAGUGUAGAGGUGAAAUUCGUAGAUAUUGGGAGGAACACCAGUGGCGAAGGCGGCCACCUGGCACGGCACUGACGCUGAGGCGCGAAAGCGUGGGGAGCAAACAGG